AGAGUUUGAUCAUGGCUCAGGAUGAACGCUGGCGGCGUGCCUAACACAUGCAAGUCGGGCGAACAAAUUUUUAUGAAGCCUUCGGGUAGAUUAAAAAGGAGUUAGCGGCGGACGGGUGAGUAACGCGUGGGCAACCUGCCCUAUACAGAGGGAUAGCCUCGGGAAACCGGGAUUAAUACCUCAUAAAACUCUAGUAUGGCAUCAUACAGGAGUCAAAGAUUUAUCGGUAUAGGAUGGGCCCGCGUCUGAUUAGCUAGUUGGUAAGGUAACGGCUUACCAAGGCAACGAUCAGUAGCCGACCUGAGAGGGUGAUCGGCCACAUUGGAACUGAGACACGGUCCAAACUCCUACGGGAGGCAGCAGUGGGGAAUAUUGCACAAUGGGCGUAAGCCUGAUGCAGCAACGCCGCGUGAGUGAUGAAGGCCUUCGGGUCGCAAAACUCUGUCCUAAGGGAAGAAUAAUGACGGUACCUUAGGAGGAAGCCCCGGCUAACUACGUGCCAGCAGCCGCGGUAAUACGUAGGGGGCGAGCGUUAUCCGGAAUCACUGGGCGUAAAGGGUGCGUAGGCGGUCAGUAAAGUCUGGGGUGAAAGGCUACGGCUUAACCGUAGUAAGCCUUGGAAACUUACUGACUUGAGUGCAGGAGAGGAGAGCGGAAUUCCUAGUGUAGCGGUGAAAUGCGUAGAUAUUAGGAGGAACACCAGUGGCGAAGGCGGCUCUCUGGACUGUAACUGACGCUGAGGCACGAAAGCGUGGGUAGCGAACAGGAUUAGAUACCCUAGUAGUCC
rnacentral:rRNA from 1 species